CUUGGGAUUGAGGGAUGGGUGAUGAGGACUCCCCAUUGGUGAUAGUGAGAGCUGGAGGUCCAGGUCGGUUGGCGUGGGUGUCGUGGAAUCUUGGCCAGAUGAGGAGGCCAUGUGGAUGAAUGGUUGAACUCUGUUUUGGGGUAUAUGAAACAGGGGAGGUUUGGCUGCUCACUCAUCAGUUAUGCAAGACCAAACUAAUCAAAUGGUCAGAUUAGCAAACUGUGUCACUUACAUUAUAGUCCUCAGCUACCUCCGCUACCUAAUCUAUUAGCGAUGUGGGUUCUAGUUCUCACUUCAAACCAUAUUGGUUCUGCUUUUGAGUCCCCCAUCACAAAAAACGUGACCUGAAAGUGAAAAAAGGCUCAGUGGGAUGUUUAGGAAGAACCGUAACGUUCUCAUCAAACAUCCUUUUGGCUCUGAAUGAUUCAUUUGAAUGAUGGGCGAUGGUAAAACCAGCUCUCUCCUACAUUUCUCAUUGCCCUUUGGUUCUAUACAAACUCUUCACACACAGAAAACUCCACAACGCUCUUUUCCCUCAAGAACUACUCGUUUCCGCUCUCAUUCUUGCUUUAAACUCUUGCUCUUCUAUUUCAUACUGCCGGGCAAUUCAUGCCCGCGUAAUCAAAUCUGUGGAUUAUAGCGAUGGGUUUAUUGGUGAUCAGUUGGUGUCAAAGUACGUUAAAUUUGGAGGUGCAGAAGAUGCACAGAAGUUGUUUGAUGAAAUGCCGCACAAGGAUGUGGUCUCCUGGAAUUCUUUAAUUACUGGGUUAUCGCAAAUGGGGUGUAUUGGUAAGUGCCUAAGUACACUUUUUAGGAUGAAAUUUGAGAUGGGAAUGAAACCUAAUGAGGUCACACUUUUAUCUGUAAUCAGUGCCUGUACUGAUUUUGUAGUACUAGAUGUAGGCAAGUACUACUUUUUUAUUGGUCAGAUUGAUUCUAUUCCUGGGAGGCGGCCUUUCCUUUUAUCAAGGACGUGGUGCAUGCACGACCUUCGGAUAAAAAGGUGUAGCCAUUUCAGGUAAGCUUACUCUUCAAUUAACACAUACUUGAUCAAAUCAUAUAAUUUUGCUUGAGAUGGUCUUGAGUUUAUGUUUAGAUAACUUAUUUUUCUUUGAGUUUAAACUGGUCAAGUAUUAUGGUAUUUUGAUACAUCAUUUUUUGAAUCUUUCUUUACUAACCUGAAGUGCACCUGACUUUUAUCUGUUAUAUAGCUGGCCAAUCCUCAAUGUAGUGACACAGUUUGCUAAUCUGACCAUUUGAUUAGUUUGGUCUUGCAUAACUGAUGAGCGAGCAGCCAAACCUUCCCUGUUUCAUAUAUCCCAAAACAGAGUUCAACCAUUCACCCACAUGGCCCCCUCAUCUGACCAAGAUUCCACGACACCCAUGCCAACUGACCCGAACCUCCAGCUCUCACUAUCACCAAUGGGGAGUCCUCAUCACCCAUCCCUGAAUCCCAUGCCCAUGCAACUCUCCCCUCCCCACGACCACCCACUCCCUCUGGACCAUCUCAAUGUGAGCUUGGUCGUCCCAGACUACAUGUGGAACUCGCAAAAGGAGGAGGCAAAAUGGCCAGCCAUUAUGGUUAUAUUUGCAUAUAUCUAAAGAGGCCAAAGACUGCAACGCAGCCAGCAAGGUUAGAACAAACUUUUACAAGCAGCCUGGAUAAGGUAGACCUUCAUUUCAAGAAGAGUAGGCAGGAUAUUGGCAUGUGAAAGGUACUUGGACAAGCAGUUCAGUUUCAGUUGACUUUCAUAAAAUCCAGGUCUAUAAAUAUUUGCCUUGGAUGCUCCAUCAGAGAACUUUUCUUGUACUACACCUACUGGAAUAUAUGCAGUUUAAGCAAACUGUUACAAUUGAUGACUCUUGUGCAUGGAAGUCACAAUCUUUUGUGAUCUAGCUAAUGUAAACGUGAAAUUUUGUAGCUAAAUGGUGCAGACUUAUAUAAUUAAUUUGAUGCCCAGAAAAAAAAAAAAAAAAAAAAAAAAAAAAAAAAAAAAAAGGAAACGAAGAACAAUAAGAGGGAGAGACAUUCAUUGGUUGACUAUUAGACAUAUGGAAGAAAUAUGUGAUAAGGCAAUCAGCACAUGGUUGAUAACAUUAUGUGAGUAUUUGGUUUUCAUUUUCUUGAACCUCCGGAUUAAGUUUCCAGCUUAUGGUUUAAAAGCAACUGUUAUAUUCGUGAUCUAGUUUCUGGAUUAAGUUUCUUGGGCUUAUAUGCCAUGCAAAUAAACUUUAUCCGGUGUCCUUAGUUAUGUCAUAUCUUGUAUUCCUAAUGUUAUAGAGCAUCUUCUUCAUCCUUGAGUGUUCACUUGAUAGUUAGAUAAAUUAGCCAUCAUAUCUAUCA